rnacentral:lncRNA from 1 species
CGAUUUCAACGUUUUUCCACCUCUUCGGCUGGCGUACGCUGAACUGGACCCUCGCAGCAAGAAUGGCACGUGGGAAUUGACACCGCGAUCGUGGAACACAUGGCUGAUCUGCCUCGAAUAACUGCAAGCCGGCGUGUGCGUAGUGCCGUGGAGAACGACCAGAAGUCCUGGACGACAAAGAAAAAAACUUCAAAGGUUUGUUGUACAUGUUUUCCACGGCAACUGACAUAAACGUAAAAAAAAUUGGAAUCGUCAAAUGCAUGUGUCAAGUUUAACCAUUUGUAGUGGGCUGUGGACAUGAAUUAA